GGGAAGCAGGUCUAUGCCUGCCCCCGAGCUUUUCCACUGGGGAUUUUUAAAAAAAGGAAUCCAAGUACAGUAGCUUAGAAGUGGAGAGAAAAACCAGGACAGAGCCCUUCUCCUUAUUGUGGGCAAGUGCCUUGUAGUGCGGCGGGGGGAGUCUAGACAGAGCGACAAGCACGUAGGAGGGUGAAACUGACGUUAACGCAGCCGCCGUCGGAAUCUGGUCACUUGCAAGCAGAACACGAUUUAGCUCCGGCGCUCUCGUCUCUUUCAGACACAUAAGCAUAGUGUACACCAGUGGCAAAAAAAAGGCACAAAACCUGCAGUGGGAUCUGCACGGGCUGGAGAAGAGGAUUUUUGCAUUAACCUAUCCCUAUAUAAAUCACAGUUGAUGAUCUCCUAUUAUUACAUUUUGUUACUGUUGAUGAUAUACACUGCUGAAAGGCAAUUUUGGAGCUGAAGGAUGUGUCCGUAUAUUUGUUGUCAACUGGGUUUAGAUGUCGGUAAUAGUUGGAAAAGCAGAAAGGACUACCUGCCUAUCAGCUUACAUCAGCGAGGGGUACUGAAGCUCACAGAUUACCUGAAGAAGCUUUAACCAAUGAUCUGUCUGCCUGGGGAUGAUCAUGAAGAAUCAUUAAACCACUAGGGGGAAAAUUCAGUCUUUCAUAGAUUGAAAAGAGCAUCUGAAUCAGGAGAGACUGUGAACACUCUGGAUCGGUAUCUGAAUGCUGUAGUGGACUGGAUGAGGGCCAAUAAACUGUGUUUGAAUCCUGGGAAGACAGAGGCUCUUUGGAUGGCAGUGUGUGUUAAAGGAAAACACACACAAUGAAGUACAAAUAAUCCUUAAUGCAGGAUAAAUUACUUUCGCCUCCCAGGAAAUUAAGGCUCUUUAAAUUAAUCCCCAUUAUUUGGCAUGUGAAUGAAUAUGUUUACAUUUGGAAUAAGAGCCAUAUUAAACUUCUUCUCACCUUCCAUGGUGCUGAUUUACAACCUACUCUUUCAGGAGCAUUAUUCCUCCAUGAAGACUCAUUCUGUUCAUUCCCUUAUCACUCACACUCUCAUUAUAGUAUGACCAGGAUUUAUGAGUUGAUUACUGUUUGAAUGAUCGACCACAAAGUAUCAUUUAUGUUCCACCCUGACCUUUACUACAACCUCUGGGGAUUACAGUAAGAAGAAAACGUGUGAACUUGGCAUAGCCAAAGGGUGUAAUACAACCCUAGAGAACUGAUGAUAAAGGAAAGCUUCAUAUUUCAGUAACAAAGAGCACAGUUUGAAAAGAAGGCCACUAAAGAAC